GAUGAAGAACGCAGCGAAAUGCGAUAAGUAGUGUGAAUUGCAGAAUUCAGUGAAUCAUCGAAUCUUUGAACGCACAUUGCGCCCUUUGGUAUUCCUUAGGGCAUGCCUGUUCGAGCGUCAUUUAAACCUUCAAGCUCAGCUUGGUGUUGGGUGACUGUCCGCUUCACCGCGGACUCGCCUCAAAAUUAUUGGCGGCCGGUACAUUGGCUUCGAGCGCAGCAGAAACGCGAACUCGGGCCCGUCGUAUUGGCUCCCAGAAGCUAUCUUCACAAUUUUGACCUCGGAUCAGGUAGGGAUACCCGCUGAACUUAAGCAUAUCAAUAGCGGAGGA
rnacentral:misc_RNA from 1 species